AUGAGGAGAGCAGAACAGCCAGGGUCUCCUGAGGCUCUGUGGCGGUGUGGGGCACCGGCCAGCACAGGCAGCACAGUCACACAUCAUCCUAGGAGCCCAGAUGGUGCUGGCCACGAAUGGGGGAAGAGGAACAAGAUGGAGAGUCCUCUGCUGCCUUUAUCCUGAAACCCAGGACUGAAGGGUAGCUGUAGAUUCACUUUGCAUGUACAAUAUAGCCACCUGGAGGAAAAGGACACAGACGCUUUCUCUGCUCUUCCUAACAAAGGUAAGUUUCAUGUUCUACCAGGCGAACCUCAGUAUGAGGCAGGAGAGCCCUGGUAGUGUUGCAGCUGUAUCAAUUAGCCUCAUUUAGA
rnacentral:lncRNA from 1 species